GACGAACGCUGGCGGCGUGCUUAACACAUGCAAGUCGAACGGAAAGGCCCUGCUUUUGUGGGGUGCUCGAGUGGCGAACGGGUGAGUAACACGUGAGUAACCUGCCCUUGACUUUGGGAUAACUUCAGGAAACUGGGGCUAAUACCGGAUAGGAGCUCCUGCUGCAUGGUGGGGGUUGGAAAGUUUCGGCGGUUGGGGAUGGACUCGCGGCUUAUCAGCUUGUUGGUGGGGUAGUGGCUUACCAAGGCUUUGACGGGUAGCCGGCCUGAGAGGGUGACCGGCCACAUUGGGACUGAGAUACGGCCCAGACUCCUACGGGAGGCAGCAGUGGGGAAUAUUGCACAAUGGGCGGAAGCCUGAUGCAGCCACGCAGCGUGCGGGAUGACGGCCCUCGGGUUGUAACCCGCUUUCGCCUGUGACGAAGCGUGAGUGACGGUAAUGGGUAAAGAAGCACCGGCUAACUACGUG
rnacentral:rRNA from 1 species